CAGUCGCCGCGGUAAUACGAAGGGGGCUAGCGUUGUUCGGAAUUACUGGGCGUAAAGCGCACGUAGGCGGAUAUUUAAGUCAGGGGUGAAAUCCCGCAGCUCAACUGCGGAACUGCCUUUGAUACUGGGUAUCUUGAGUAUGGAAGAGGUUAGUGGAAUUGCGAGUGUAGAGGUGAAAUUCGUAGAUAUUCGCAGGAACACCAGUGGCGAAGGCGGCUAACUGGUCCAUAACUGACGCUGAGGUGCGAAAGCGUGGGGAGCAAACAGGAUUAGAUACCCGAGUAGUCCCUGUCUCUUAUCC
rnacentral:rRNA from 1 species